rnacentral:rRNA from 1 species
GACGAACGCUGGCGGCGUGCUUAACACAUGCAAGUCGAACGGAAAGGCCCUGCUUUUGUGGGGUGCUCGAGUGGCGAACGGGUGAGUAACACGUGAGUAACCUGCCCUUGACUUUGGGAUAACUUCAGGAAACUGGGGCUAAUACCGGAUAGGAGCUCCUGCUGCAUGGUGGGGGUUGGAAAGUUUCGGCGGUUGGGGAUGGACGCGCGGCUUAUCAGCUUGUUGGUUGGGUAGUGGCUUACCAAGGCUUUGACGGGUAGCCGGCCUGAGAGGGUGACCGGCCCCAUUGGGCCUGAGAUACGGCCCAGACGCCUACGGGAGGCAGCAGUGGGGAAUAUUGCACAAUGGGCGGAAGCCUGAUGCAGCAACGCCGCGUGCGGGAUGACGGCCUUCGGGUUGUAAACCGCUUUCGCCUGUGACGAAGCGUGAGUGACGGUAAUGGGUAAAGAAGCACCGGCUAACUACGUG